AGGCAGCAGUGGGGAAUUUUGGACAAUGGGGGCAACCCUGAUCCAGCCAUGCCGCGUGCGGGAAGAAGGCCUUCGGGUUGUAAACCGCUUUUGGUCGGGAAGAAAAGGUUACCCCUAAUAAGGGUGACUCUUGACGGUACCGGCAGAAUAAGCACCGGCUAACUACGUGCCAGCAGCCGCGGUAAUACGUAGGGUGCGAGCGUUAAUCGGAAUUACUGGGCGUAAAGCGUGCGCAGGCGGUUUGUUAAGUCUGAUGUGAAAGCCCCGGGCUCAACCUGGGAAUGGCAUUGGAAACUGGCAAGCUUGAGUAUGGCAGAGGGGGGUGGAAUUCCGCGUGUAGCAGUGAAAUGCGUAGAGAUGCGGAGGAACACCGAUGGCGAAGGCAGCCCCCUGGGCCAAUACUGACGCUCAGGCACGAAAGCGUGGGGAGCAAACAGGAUUAGAUACCCUGGUAG
rnacentral:rRNA from 1 species